rnacentral:tRNA from 1 species
GGGGUUGUGGCUCAGCGGUAGAGCACUCACCUAGCUCGUGUGAGGCCCUGGGUUCAAUCCUCAGCACCACA